AACGCUGGCGGCGUGCCUAACACAUGCAAGUCNAACGCUUUUUUCGAGAGGAGCAAUCUUUUCGAGAAGGGAGUGGCGAACGGGUGAGUAACACGUGGGUGACCUGCCCCGAGGCGGGGGAUAACGCGACGAAAGUCGAGCUAAUACCGCAUAAGCUCCCGGCUUGUGCCGGGAGGAAAGCUUCUGCAAGGAGGCGACUGGGGAGGGGCCCGCGGCCGAUUAGCUAGUUGGCAGGGUAAGAGCCUACCAAGGCCGCGAUCGGUAGCCGGUCUGAGAGGACGGACGGCCACACUGGAACUGAGAGACGGUCCAGACUCCUACGGGAGGCAGCAGUGGGGAAUUUUGCGCAAUGGCCGCAAGGCUGACGCAGCAACGCCGCGUGGAGGAAGAAGGUCUUCGGAUCGUAAACUCCUGUCGGAGGGGAAAAACAAGGUGAUGGUACCCUUCGAGGAAGCCCCGGCUAACUCCGUGCCAGCAGCCGCGGUAAUACGGGGGGGGCAAGCGUUGUUCGGAAUUACUGGGCGUAAAGGGCGCGUAGGCGGCCCUCGCAGUCUUGGGUGAAAGUCCUCGGCUCAACCGGGGAAGGGCCUGAGAAACCUGGGGGCUGGAGUGCUGGAGAGGGAAGCGGAAUUCCCGGUGUAGCGGUGAAAUGCGUAGAAAUCGGGAGGAACACCAGCGGCGCAGGCGGCUUCCUGGACAGACACUGACGCUGAGGCGCGAAAGCUAGGGGAGCAAACGGGAUUAGAUACCCCGGUAGUCCUAGCCGUAAACGAUGGACACUAGGCGUAGGGGGUGGAAAAGUCCCUCGGUGCCGACGGCAACUCGCUAAGUGUCCCGCCUGGGGAGUACGAUCGCAAGAUUGAAACUCAAAGGAAUUGACGGGGGCCCGCACAAGCGGUGGAGCAUGUGGUUUAAUUCGACGCAACGCGAAGAACCUUACCGGGGUUUGAACUGCUCCUGCGACCUGGAGAGAUCCGGGGUUUUCCUUUGGAGACGGGAGCAGAGGUGCUGCAUGGCUGUCGUCAGCUCGUGUCGUGAGAUGUUGGGUUAAGUCCCGCAACGAGCGCAACCCUUGUCGGUAGUUGCUACCAGGUAGAGCUGAGCACCCUAUCGAGACUGUCGGCGAAAAGCCGGAGGAAGGUGGGGAUGACGUCAAGCCCUCAUGGCCUUUAUGCCCCGGGCUACACACGUGCUACAAUGGGCGCGACACAGGGGAGCCAACCCGCGAGGGAGUGCCGAUCCCAAAAAAGCGCUCACAGUUCGGAUCGCAGUCUGCAACUCGACUGCGUGAAGGUGGAAUCGCUAGUAAUCGCGGAUCAGCAUGCCGCGGUGAAUACGUUCCCGGGCCUUGUACACACCGCCCGUCACAUCACGAAAGUGGACGGUACUAGAAGUCGCUGGUCUAACCCGCAAGGGAGGCAGGCGCCGACGGUGUGGUCCAUGAUUGGGGUG
rnacentral:rRNA from 1 species